rnacentral:tRNA from 1 species
GUUGGUAGAGCAACUGACUUGUAAUCAGUAGGUCGCCAGUUCGACUCCGGCAGUCGGCA